UUCUGGUUUUGAGUUGGUUCAGAAGUAUAUUGGUGGGGGCUCUCGAAUGGUUAGAUAACUUUUUGUUAUGGCCAGGGAGCAUGCUCCAUCAAUCAUCUUUAUGGAUGAAAUCGACAGCAUUGGAUCUGCUUGAAUGGAAUCUGGAUCUGGUAAUGGUGAUAGUGAAGUGCAGGGGACGAUGCUGGAGCUUCUCAAUCAACUGGAUGGAUUUGAGCAUCUAACAAAAUCAAAGUUAUUCUUUCUGAUGCCAAUGUUCUUGGUGAAGGGGAACAUAAAAUUAUGUCGAA